UACGUAGGGGGCAAGCGUUGUCCGGAAUCAUUGGGCGUAAAGAGCGCGUAGGCGGCCCUGUAAGUCCGCUGUGAAAGUCAAGGGCUCAACCCUUGGAUGCCGGUGGAUACUGCAGGGCUAGAGUCCGGAAGAGGCGAGUGGAAUUCCUGGUGUAGCGGUGAAAUGCGCAGAUAUCAGGAGGAACACCGAUGGCGAAGGCAGCUCGCUGGGACGGUACUGACGCUGAGGAGCGAAAGCUAGGGGAGCAAACGGG
rnacentral:rRNA from 1 species